rnacentral:rRNA from 1 species
UACGAAGGGGGCUAGCGUUGCUCGGAAUCACUGGGCGUAAAGCGCACGUAGGCGGAUCUUUAAGUCAGGGGUGAAAUCCUGGAGCUCAACUCCAGAACUGCCUUUGAUACUGGAGAUCUCGAGUCCGGAAGAGGUGAGUGGAACUCCGAGUGUAGAGGUGAAAUUCGUAGAUAUUCGGAAGAACACCAGUGGCGAAGGCGGCUCACUG